rnacentral:tRNA from 2 species
GGCCAGAUGUUCGAGUGGUCUAAGAAGCUAGCUUCAGGUUGUUUUACGUGAUCUCGCUAGUCCGAAAGGGCGUGGGUUCAAAUCCCACUCUGGUCA